rnacentral:lncRNA from 1 species
GGAGAUCUUGCGGACCUGUGCAGUGGGCCGUCGGAAAGGCAAGCCUGACCCUUUCAAGAGAGGCACACCUGUCCAGAAGUUCAUACUUGUAUGUUGCCCUGCAUAUGGCACUGAAAGAGAACACAGGGCUGAUUCCUUGACCUUUUGCAGUUCAUAGUCUAGUGAGGAAUACGAAUAAUUACAAAGGAAAGACUCUUUUACAGCCCUCAGCACUGUUAUUGCGUGAACUGGCUCAGCAUGGCCGGCCCAGUGAAGGACGCCAGUGGUAGUAACCGGGGAAGAGGGAUCCCCUGGCUCUUCUUACCAAACUUCUUCGAUCGUUUGGAGUGGUUUGGCCAUCAGUUAGUCAGGAAGAGGCCAGAAGGACACGUGCUGAUAAUGCUUCAAGAAAGUUAAACUUUAGGAAAAACUCGACCGAAGUAAAAAUAGCUAUGUAGUCAGUGACCAAAGCUACUUGGAUGGUCCUGUUGAUUGCUCUUG